UUCCUUGAGAAAGGAAAAGUGGUCAUCUUAAAGUGCAGAAGAGAGAUUCAAGAGCCGGCUGGCAAGGGUUACCUGAAUGCAGGAAUGCGAGGGCCACUGCUCCUUCUAGGGCUCUGCCUUCUGCUGCAUGUCUCAGGAGUUGGGGCUCAGAAGACCAAAUCUCCCUGUCUCCGGUGCCCCUUAAAUGCUUCCUGUGUCAAUGGCACUUACUGUACCUGCAAUCCUGGAUACACUUCUGAAUCAGGGCAGAAAUUCUUCACAUUCCCCUUCGAGAUAUGUAAAGAAAUCACUUCCUCAGAUACAAUUAAAGACAAGAAAGAGCUACAAGGGGUUGUUGAGGAAUUCGAGUCACUUCUCACCAAUAAGACUCUAUGGGAAACGAGAGAGAAGAGAGAAAUUGCAUCCAGAGUGACAUCUGUUCUCCAGGAGGUGGAACGGAAUGUUCUAAAAACUGCCUUGAACUCCCCAGAGCAAAAAAUCCAGAAAGUCCAAAAUAGUGCUGUAGCUGUUGAAACUCGAGUUGUUACAGACAAUUGCUCUGAGGGAGAAAAGAUCUUCAACUUGGGCACCCAGAUGAACUCAAUGAACAUCCAGUGCAAUGACGUCAUCCAGGGAAACAUACAAGGUCCCAGCACAGUUGCCUUUAUUUCAUACUCUUCUCUUGGCAACAUCAUAAAUGCAACUUUUUUUGAAGAGAUGAAUGAGAAAGACAGAGUUUACCUGGUCUCCCAGGUAGUGAGCGCUGCCCUUGGACCCAAAAGGAACACAUCUCCAUCCAACCCUGUGACUCUGUGUUUUCAGCAUGUGAAGAUGAAGCCCGGUAGCCAAAAGUCCUUCUGCGUUUACUGGAAAACCACAGAGGAGGGCGGCCACUGGUCCAGGGAUGGCUGUUCCCUGAUACGCGCAAACAAAAGUCACACCGUAUGCAGCUCCACCCACCUGUCCAGUUUCGCUGUCCUCAUGGCCUUAACCCUCCAGGAGGAGGAUCCCGUGCUCACUGUGAUCACCUAUGCGGGGCUGAGCCUGUCUCUGCUGUGCCUCUUCCUGGCGGCCCUCACCUUCCUGCUGUGCAAAGCCAUCCAGAACACCAGCACCUCCCUGCACCUGCAUCUCUCCCUCUGCCUCUUCCUGGCCCACCUGCUCUUCCUCACGGCCAUUGACCGAACCAAGCCUGUGGUGCUGUGCUCCAUCAUCGCGGGGGCCUUACACUAUCUCUACCUGGCCUCCUUCACCUGGAUGCUGCUGGAGGGUCUGCACCUCUUCCUCACGGCACGCAACCUGACGGUGGUCAACUACUCGAGCAGCUUCACGAAGUGGCUUGUGUUCCCUGUGGGCUAUGGGGUCCCGGCUGUGAUCGUGGCCAUUUCUGCAGCGUCCAGGCCACACCUUUAUGGAACACCUGAGCGCUGCUGGCUCAACCUGGACCAGGGGUUCAUCUGGGGUUUUCUCGGCCCUGUCUGUGCCAUUAUCUCUGUGAAUUUAGUAUUCUUUCUCUUGGUCCUUUGGAUUUUGAAAAAGAAACUUUCCUCCCUCAACACUGAAGUGUCAACCAUCCAGAAUAUAAGGAUGCUGACACUCAAAGCAACAGCUCAGCUCUUCAUCCUGGGUUGCACAUGGUGUCUGGGCAUCCUGCAAGUGGGCUCAGGUGCCCAGGUCAUGGCCUACCUCUUCACCAUCAUCAAUAGCCUUCAAGGCUUCUUCAUUUUCCUGGUCUACUGUCUCCUCAGCCAGCAGGCAUCCAAAGAACCAAACUAGGAAAGGAAGUACAGUUCCUCAGAAGGCAAGGGAUAGGAAGACCCUGACCUGACAGAACAGACACUUCCUAGAGAGCAAAGGAUGAGCAUAGGUUUGAAACAUCCAAAUGCUCUAUUUUGAAGUAUGGUGUAUAUUUUGGAUUAAAUGUAAAUUUUAGAUUAAGGCUCAAGAAUAGUUUAUGACUGGAAGGAUAUUAAAAAGAGUGAAAAAGCAAGUUUCAAAACAUUACUCUAAAAAGGUUCCAUUUUGUUGCAUAAUGUAUAUAAACAUGUAUGGUUUAUGUUAUAAUGUUGUGUAUGUAUUGGUGUGCAGGUGUGAGUGCCAUGGCAAAGCACGGUGGUUCUCAGGCAAUUUCGGCCCCCACUCCAGGGGAUAGAUUUAGCAAUAGCUGGUGGGGAGAGGCCAGGGGUGCUGCUGAAGAUCUUACCGUGGGGCUCUCUUGUCCCCUCCUGGCCUGAGCCAGGAACUCUGUCCUCUCGCUUUCUCUCUAAAGUAAAGCCUCUCCCUGGCUCUCCUACCUUGGGUGUUUGCUAAGUUCAUUCUUCAACUCCUCAAACAAGAACGCCAGCAUCAUUUGUGGGGGCUUGUCCGGGAUAACUUCAGAGGAUCUCCGAAGGCAAAUCCAAGCUGUGUCAGGCCCAGAAGUCCCACGGACAAUAUGGAACUGGUCUUCUAAAUCCUUUUGAAGUCAUGAAACUGAAAAUGGUGAUGGAAAUGGAACCCCGAUAUUAGUGGCCAUCUUCUGAGGCCCUCUCGACUGACCAGUGAUGGAGACCUAGCUGCACCCUUUACUGCACUCCUCUCAGCAUGAAGCAGCCAGAGUGGUCGUCACCCCCUUUCCCUAGCAGCAGGGAAAUGAGACAGGGUCCAUGGGCUUAGACAGAAUAGGGUGAGGGCCUCCGGAAAAAAUAAAGCAAGAUUAUCAAUCCAUUGUGAGAUUUGCUUUGGCCUGCUGGGGGGCCCAGCUUAUUUUUUCUGACUUUACCCAGGGGGUGCUUUUCUUCCCCCAGCCCUAAAAAAAUGAUUUACAACUUGGGCAAUGAAGCAAGAAAGCCCAAAACAACAUAAUAAAAACAGGAAGGAUCCCAUCUUGAAAAUAAGAUUGCACAUUAAUAGCCAAUUAAUUAAAAAGUAAGUUUCUUAACAAACACAAUAACAGCCCACCUUGGGAGCAAAGCAGGCAGUCUUGAGUGAUAUGUUCCCAGACCAGGAAGCUGCUAUCCUGGGAGGGAAUCAGAGCAAUAAAAUUCUUUGUAAAUAACCAGGAAGACUAAUAAGAAACUUAAUGUCCCCUCAAAGAUAAACAUUUUGGGACCACUUAGCAGGUGUACAUCCCUAGCCCUUUGUCUCUCAACUGCCUACAAAACCCCUAGACAAUGCACCACCCCAGGGCUCUCUUGUCCCCUCCUGGCCUGAGCCGGGAGCUCUGUCCUCUCACUUUCUCUCUAAAUAAAAGACUCUGCCUUGCUCUCCAAAAAAAAAAAAGAUCCUACUGUGCACAGGAUGACUCACCACAAGGCAUGUUCAACCCAAGAGGUCAAUACUGCCAAGGCUGGGAAGUCUUGGUAUAGAUGCUAUUGAUGGCCUUCUCAAAUCCCUUUGGCAUCAUCUCUACAUGCCUAGGGUUACUUACUGCAAACACCUGUGAUUCUGUGCCUGUGGGCUUCUUACUGCCCACAGGACACGUCUAGCCCAUGCAUGCGGCAAGCUGGUGGUUCCAGAGAGUAAUGGCCUGUGAGAACAGCCAUCAACCAAUGAUUGAAUGGAAGCUGGUGGGUAAAUGUCCCAGUAAUGCCCCUGAGGAGGGAUGACUCAGAGGUGUGUCCUAUGCUGUAUCCCAGAGCUCCCCAAUGGGACUGAGCCCACAGUGAAGAGACAGCAGAGAGGAUUGUGCACUCUUUACUGGCUGCCUUCCCUGUCUCACUUCCCACUGACCCACCAGUGUUUCCCAGGACCACCUCUCAAAUAAACUUCUUACACUUGAACCCUUGUCUCAGCAUCUGCUUCUGGGGGAACGCCAAACCAAAACACAUGGAAAGAUACACCAAAACAGCACCAGUGACUUCUCGCUAGAUGGAGAACUAUGUGUGACUUCUAUUUUUGUCCUUUGCAGAGGCUUAUUUUGUAAAUUUUCUACAACAAAGGUGUAUUCUGUAAUAUGAAAACAAUUAUUGUGGUAAAAUAUAUAUAACAUAAAACUUACCAUUUUAAAAAACUGAAGGAACAAAACAGCAGCAGAAUCACAGAACCCAAGAAUGGACUAACA